GGCCAGACUCCUACGGGAGGCAGCAGUGGGGAAUAUUGGGCAAUGGGCGCAAGCCUGACCCAGCAAUGCCGCGUGAAGGAAGAAGGCCUUCGGGUUGUAAACUUCUUUUAUCAGGGACGAAGGAUGUGACGGUACCUGAUGAAUAAGCUCCGGCUAACUACGUGCCAGCAGCCGCGGUAAUACGUAGGUGGCAAGCGUUGUCCGGAAUUACUGGGUGUAAAGGGAGCGUAGGCGGGAAGCCAAGUCAGCUGUGAAAACUACGGGCUUAACCUGUGGCCUGCAUUUGAAACUGUACUUCUUGAGUACUGGAGAGGCAGACGGAAUUCCUAGUGUAGCGGUGAAAUGCGUAGAUAUUCGGAGGAACACCGGUGGCGAAGGCGGCCAACUGGGCUUUAACUGACGCUGAGGCUCGAAAGUGUGGGGAGCAAACAGGAUUAGAUACCCCAGUAUCG
rnacentral:rRNA from 1 species